UACAGAGGUCCCAAGCGUUGUUCGGAUUCAUUGGGCGUAAAGGGUGCGUAGGUGGCGAGGCAAGUCUGGUGUGAAAUCCCGGGGCUCAACCCCGGAACUGCACUGGAUACUGCUUUGCUAGAGUACUGGAGAGGGAACUGGAAUUUACGGUGUAGCAGUGAAAUGCGUAGAUAUCGUAAGGAAGACCAGUGGCGAAGGCGAGUUCCUGGACAGUAACUGACACUGAGGCACGAAGGCCAGGGGAGCAAACGGG
rnacentral:rRNA from 1 species